rnacentral:rRNA from 1 species
AACGAACGCUGGCGGCAGGCCUAACACAUGCAAGUCGAGGGGGAAGCCAUCUUCGGGUGGUGGAGACCGGCGCACGGGUGAGUAACGCGUGGGCACCUGCCCUGGGGUGGGGGAUAACCGCUGGAAACGGCGGCUAAUACCGCAUACGCCUUUAGAGGGAAAGAUUUAUCGCCCUGGGAGGGGCCCGCGUUGGAUUAGCUUGUUGGUGGGGUAACGGCCCACCAAGGCGACGAUCCAUAGCUGGUCUGAGAGGAUGAUCAGCCACACUGGGACUGAGACACGGCCCAGACUCCUACGGGAGGCAGCAGUGGGGAAUAUUGGACAAUGGGGGAAACCCUGAUCCAGCCAUGCCGCGUGAGUGAAGAAGGCCCUAGGGUUGUAAAGCUCUUUCAGCUGUGACGAUGAUGACGGUAGCAGCAGAAGAAGCCCCGGCUAACUCCGUG